GAAACAUUAGCCAAGUGGUCAAGGCUUUAGAAUCCUAGUAUUGAGAUACAUCUGUUACUCUCUGAGUGCACAGGUUUAAAUCCUGCUGGUGUCG